rnacentral:snRNA from 1 species
UCAGCCCAUGCGAGUUUCCUCACCUUUCGGCCGAAAUCUCCUUCAUCAUC